rfam:Camelus ferus unplaced genomic scaffold scaffold389, whole genome shotgun sequence.
GUGGGUAUAGCUCAGUGGUAGAGUGCGUGCCUAGCAUAUAUGAGGUCCUGCGGUCAAUUCCCAGUAUCUCCA